GACGAACGCUUGCGGCGUGCUUAACACAUGCAAGUCGAACGAAGUGGCGAACGGGUGAGUAAUACGUGGGUAACCUUCCCUCCUUUUUGGGAUAAGCCUUGGAAACGGGGUCUAAUACCUAAUAAAGGGGGAUGGGCUCGCGGCUUUUCAGCUUGUUGGUGGGGUGAUGGCCUACCAAGGCGGUGACGGGUAGCCGGCCUGAGAGGGUGACCGGCCACAUUGGGACUGAGAUACGGCCCAGACUCCUACGGGAGGCAGCAGUGGGGGAUAUUGCACAAUGGGCGAAAGCCUGAUGCAGCGACGCCGCGGUAAUAC
rnacentral:rRNA from 1 species